AGGUGACGAUCUUUUUAAGGGCGGAACCAAAGUUAGGGAAGUUUUGGUUCCGCCCGGAAGGUUUCCCUACCGGGCCACAGACGAGGACGGACCUUCUCACUUCCUGGUUUCCAGGACAACAGAAUCAGGGCUUGACGAGCCGCAGGUGAGAGGAAUGAAGCCAGCGAAGGGUGAUUGGAGGCCGUAUGGAAUAAAUAGCUCUGUUAGAACACAGAGAGAGAAGCGAUUGACACGGAGCGAUGUACAUGUGAAGCAGUUGACACGGGGGAAGCUCCUUUGCCAAAGGCAAAUGAAGACACGCACCUUUUGAAGAGCCCGAGGGCUCUGUUGAUCCGGCGAUCGCUGAAGCGGGCGGAAAGAGGACAGAGCCAAGGAAGGUGAAAGGAAGGCAGGCCGUGGAUCUUAAACAAGGAGCACCCCGAAGUCGUGUCGAUUAUUCCUGUUGUUGAUUUACGUGGAGGGAAAUACCGAAGACCUUAAAGGUAGAAGAGGUAAACGAAUACUGACCUUGGAUGAAAGCAACGAAGGAAGGAAAGGCGCACCGUUGUCAGUACAUGACUGUGGAAAAGUAGUGUUGGCGGCUGGAAAAACGCCCUGUCUGUGCAUUUGGAAUUAUCACAACGUGAAGUCAACCUAGGACAAAGGAAGUACAACAGUUGUGAGUAACGAAGUCUUCUUAUAGAAGUAUUGUGCAUAUGGUUGACCUGUAUAUCUCUUUGAGUGUCUUUCAAAAGAGAGUGGGCGGCCCUAUCCCUGAGCCAGCGCGGUGGGUGAGCCGAAGGGUCUUUGUGAAACAGCUCCAGUGACGAAAAGCAAACACUAGGCCGAGUUGCCAUCUCUAUCUCUCCGUCCAGAGCGAAGGAAAGGAAGACGGGCGUCUAUUGUGUGCACUGAGUGGUGGGUGAGUCUUGGAUGUAGAAAUAUUCACUUGAAGUGGUGCUGUGUAAUGCUGUGUAUUGCAGUGGGAUUGCUGUGGUCGUGUCUGACGUACCCCCGCCUCCAGUCACUCGCUCCAGAGACGACGAAGAGAAAAACGGUCCUAGAGUAAGACCUGUACAUAAUUAUGCUGUGAGUGUGUUUCAGUCUUCAAAUCACGGAGUGUGUCUCAAAGUAUUUUCCCAGCUAAACGCUCGGCGGACUUGAGCUUAGGAGUGGCGGUGAAGAACUGUGCUACUGACGGUGCGUGAGUAUCAUCCAUGAUAUUGUUCCCUUACCUGUGUCUUUUUGAUCAACAUAGAGCCUGAGGCGAAGGAGAUCCGCCGGCCCGAGGUCUCGACGAAAGGGCGCCCCGGUCCAGUUUUCGAUCGACCAACGGGUCUCGAGGAAAGGGCAGCGCUCGACCCGGUGAGCCGGCGUGACGGUUCUCGCCCCUCUAUAGACCAACGAGCUCGCCGAGAGGGUUUUGGCCCCCGGCGCCACCUAGGAAACCACCGUCUAGUUGACGCACCGCAUAGCCAGCCACCGUAAGUCCGCCCCCUGUUCAGUGAAAUAUAACCUGUUAAAACUGCCUGAUCGACAGGAAAGAGGAGUGUGUCGUGAAGAUCUGUGAAGAGAGAGAGACAGCGUGAAUGUCGAGUCAUCUGUGGAGAGAGGGAGACAGCGUGAAUGUCGAGAUAACGAACUGUGAAGAGAGCCAUACCUACCCAAAGCUGUAGUCAGCGACGAGGUGAGAGAAACCAUUGGGAACCGAGUCACUGUGCCCUUGUGUCUCAGCAGUCAUCUGUGGAAAGAGAGAGACAGCGUGAGCACUGAGAUACCGAACUGUGAAGAGAGCCUUACCUACCAAACGCUGUAGUCAGCGCAGAGGUGAGAGAACCAUUGGAGACCGAUUCAUUGUACCUUUGUGUCCCAGCAGUCAUCUGUGGAAAGAGAGAGAGAGCCAGUGUGAGCACUGAGAUACCGAACUGUGAAGAGAGCCUUACCUACCAAACGCUGUAGUCAGCGCAGAGGUGAGAGAACCAUUGGAGACCGAUUCAUUGUGCCUUCGUGUCCCAGCAGACAUCUGUGGAAAGAGAGAGAGAGCCAGCGUGAACGCUGAGAUGCCGAGCUGUGAAGAGAGCCUAGAGGGGCCGUUCUUUUAAGUUCCCCUUUCUCCCUGCCCUAUUUAUUAUUUUUAACUAAAUUAAAUAAAGUACAUUUUAAUUUAU